GUGUUUGUGUCUUUGACAGAGGAGUAGCCUGAGUGGGAGAUUUAUUCCAGGUGAGUGCCUCAGCUUGUGGGAGGUGUCACAUUCCUGAGGAGAGUCAGUUUGACUGCCAGUCUUGAAUACAAGGCUCAGACAAGAGAAACUUUGCAAACAGAUAACGAAGGAGUUUAGUGGGAGAUUGAUGGGGAACUCUGUGGGGAGGCACACAAGUGGUGCCCCUUCAUCACAGAGAAGACACCCAGUGCAAGAAUAAGGAUGCAACAGAUCAAGGGGGAGGAACAUCUCCCCAGUAACUAUCUGAAGGGAUUUUUGAUACUUCCUCCAACAUGCAGAUAAUUUCACAGGAAGAUGGAUUGUCCUGGCAAAAUGUCCUUCAUCUCAACAUUCUACCUCAAGACACUUUCAGAUGGAUUCAGAACAUAAAAGUUAACAGAACACAAGAGAAAGGGAAAUAAUACGAACACAAAUUUCAGCCUUGCUCAUCUAAAAAGAAUGACAACUGUGGGUGCUUAAAAUAAUCAAACUUUCAUGUGUCCUCUUCUUUUAAAGUUAUUAUGUUAUAACUUUAAUCUCUUUCUUCUUCACAUUGUAGCUUGACACAUUGGAAAAGAGAGUUUUCUGGUUUGUGGUCCCCACUUUAGCUGUGGAGACCAGAACAUGGUAUAUUGUGGUUUGCUGGGACUGGCAGAAAUUAGCUCAGGAUCUUAUUUUACCGUUAAUUAAAACAUAAAAAUAAAACCCCCCACAAAUUCUACAUGUGAACAGAAUGAAUUAGGUAAAUUAAGACUCUGUAAAUGUUAUUUGCCAGUUAUUUUUGAAAUGCAUUUCAUUCAGGAGUGGGGUGGGGAACCCAGUUGGUAACAAUGUGAGUCUUGCUAGGUUAUAUACUGUGACCCAAUUUUGAAACAUAUAGGGAGAGAAGGAGGCAUAUGAAUUGUGUGGUAUAUUGGUUGGCAUUGGGAAGGGGCAGAAGAAUUUAAGCUAUGAUCAAAUGAAGGGACUAAGAACUUUGAAGGAACUAUCUCACCUGGUCAUAGGUAAUCUCUCCUACUUUCUUGCCAGUCCCAGAGAUUUUUUUCUGACCUCCCAAGGAUCAGAAACAGAAUAUAUAAACAGAAACAGACUUUCACAUUUGGAUCACCUCUUCCACACUGAGUCCCACCUGACUAAUGUGGCCAUUUGUUAUAACUGAAACUAGUUUGAUAAAGGAUAUGGCUCUGUUCCUUGGAGAGCAGCUAUUUUGUUGAUAUUUAUUUUUAAGACAGCUUUUCCAGUGCUGUGAAAGAGAAGCUUCCUUUUCUCUGAGACUGAGGGGGCAAUGCCUCCCUCUUAGACAGUUGCGUCUCUUUUGAACUCUAGUAGCUAAAAAUCUUUCAUUGACAUAACAAUUUCCACCUUCAUUUGAGUUGGAGUUUUUGCUAAGUUUCCAUGAUAGUUUUGCGUUUUUUUCUCUUGUAUACCUGAUUGUCUGUUGUAUUCUACUUUUUCUUAAAUAAACCUUUUUGUCAUUUA